UUGUUCCAACAAUGGAGAAACAUCCGCUCCUUCACAAGUAUUCAGAAGUCUCUUUUCUCCGAACUUGAAUUCAAGACCCGCUCAUUAACUUCAUCUUCUCAGCUGGGUGUGCAAUUUUAGGUGGAAGAGGUGUUGUCCAUGGUUAACAUAUCCAGAUCCCCGGUCAUGUUUGUGGGAUGUGGUUAAUCGCACACACGGCAAAUUCAGUUUAGUUUUUCUCCCAAUUUUUUCUUAAUCUUCUCCUGGUUCUGUCAUAUUUUCCAAUUUAUGAGUUAAGUUCAAGUCUACUAUUGUUAUUGUUCUGCCUUAACUCUCUCUUUGAUGUUCUGCCACAUUCAUUGCUUUUUCUCGAAAUAGAGAAAUUGAAUAAUGGAAUCGAAAAUUAAUAGUUUCUUCAAUUCUUUUUCUUUUAUCCCCAAAAGUGUAGACUCAUCUAAAUUUUGCAGUGAUGAAUUCAACUAUAAGAGGGUAUGGAAAUAUGUUUUGCUUACAUACCAACGAAGACCUCGAAAUUCAUCUGGGUAUAAUGUAAAUUACUUCUUCUCCGUUUUCCAUCAUUGAAUUACUCUUUUUAUCUUCUUCUCAAGUGUUUGAUUGGUAGUAGAGAUGGACAACUCUUUCUUUUUUGUCUCUAUCGCAUAAAAAAUAGACUGCUGCCUUCUCUGGUGUCGGAAAGAGCUUGGACACUACACUCUACAACACAAAUUCAAGUGCAGGGGCAGAUUUCCUUGCCCCUUUUGUAACAAUCACAAUAGG